rnacentral:rRNA from 1 species
GAAAUUGAAAUCGCUGUGAAGAUGCAGUGUACCCGCGGCUAGACGGAAAGACCCCGUGAACCUUUACUACAGCUUGGCACUGAACAUUGACCCUACAUGUGUAGGAUAGGUGGGAGGCUUUGAAGCACGUACGCCAGUAUGUGUGGAGCCGUCCUUGAAAUACCACCCUUGUAGUGUUGAUGUUCUAACGUCGACCCCUUAUCGGGGUUACGGACAGUGCCUGGUGGGUAGUUUGACUGGGGCGGUCUCCUCCCAAAGAGUAACGGAGGAGCACGAAGGUGGGCUAAUCACGGUUGGACAUCGUGAGGUUAGUGCAAUGGCAUAAGCCCGCUUGACU